UAGGGCUGAUAUAUGGCCUGUGGUGGUGCGGACCGUAAACGCGGCCGAGUCUGCUGCAGCCUUCCUGCCGGUCGGCUGAAGGGCGCUUCUCACUCAUCGGUCAGGCUGCCAGGAGCGAACACAGCUCGGACCGGAGCUCGGUGGAGGCACCGGGGGAGGCUGGAAGCACGGAUUUGUGUCCGCUUGUACUCGCUCAGCAAUGUUUGAGGGAUAAAAUCACGCUUUUAAUGAGGAGACUGGAGAGUCAGCAUCACUCUGGACUGCUCAGACAUUUGACUUCCAUCUGACCUUUGUCAAAGUCACCGGGAUCACUAAAGAACUACAGACUCUUCACAACCUGCUCAAACUCUUGGUACAGGACCUCACCACACAGGUCAAGAAGGUUUCCGUCUCAUUUCUACUCUGAAGCUCACCUUCUCCUGCUCAAACUGCUGACAAAUGUUUCUGCUGCUCUAAAGUCUGGUCUCCAGAACUUCCUAAAAACUCUCAAAGUCUCUUCUGCUGCAGGUUGCUUUGUAGAACUGUUCCAGAAAACCUCACUAAAUCACAUGGAGGGGCCUCAAGAUAGUCAUCCAAAUGAAACUGUACAAAAACCAAACUAGCACAAUCCAAACACUAAAGUCUCCUGCAGCCUACCAGAGAACCUCUGAGAACAGAGAAUCAGGACAGGAACUCUUACCUUCUGGACAACCAACGUUGCUUCUCAAACAAGAAUACAGAAUGUGUCUGACCAGAAACCUCUGAAGACUCACUACAGCCAACACAAAGACACAACUCAGCUGUACCAAAUCCACUAAUCACUGCACACAUUAGAACCAUGUGCUAACUGUGGCUAAAGAACCACAUUUACCAAGACAACUAUCCAGUACAAAGCCCUAAAACACACCAAGAAACACAUUAAAGACUAUUUUACUGCUGGAAGCUGCAAGCCAACACCUAAAGAACACACUAAAGCAACGGAAACAAACCCGGUUCUGUGGUGAAGAGAAGCAGAGGAAAUGUUUGUCUGCAGCUAAAUAAAGCAGGAAGACACUGAGCUGCUCAGGUGUUCCUGAUAACACCAAGCAGCCACCUGGACAGCCAAUAGGAACACAGCCACCUGGACAGCCAAUAGGAACACAGCUUCCUGGAAGUCCAGAGGGCUGGGUUAGUCAAGGAAAUUUAAUUUAAAGUUGAAGCAGAAAGUUAACAAAGAAAGUUGAAAACCACCUUCUGAUCCCUGAAAUCUCUGAGUUUUCACACAAAGAACACCUGAACAUGUCAAACUGGUUCCAUAGUAGAACCCUCAUUGUAAAAACAUCAUAGUAUGGUGUGUUGCUCAAAAAACAUUAGGACCCGGCUGUCAGGGGACAAACAUGUAAGAAACAUGAGAACAGAGAGAACCCAACCAGUAGGUCACAGUUUAUCAUCAUCUAAUCAUCUCCUGAAGUCCAUAUGGUGAGAGACAUCAGUAUCUGGUUGUUAAUUUACCAGAGGAUGCUUAUAAUCAUGCUGCUGUGGUCUGUACUCUACAGUAUUUUAGAGACUCAAUAAAUGCCUAAGUUGUUUUUUUUUAAAUGCUUUUUAGUUUUUAAUAAACAUUUAACAGUCUAUAUGUAAUCAAUAAAUGGCCUUUGCCUAUCUUAAGAAAAAUUCACUCAGAACUCUGAUAUGUUAACAGUACUAAAUAAAUCAAUAAAUACAUGC
ensembl:lncRNA